ensembl:lncRNA
GGUUCAUUUGGGAAGGGCCUCUUUCUGCCCCCUGCCCGCUCUGCUUUUCCUCCUUCUUCCAUCCUACGAAGGGCUCCAGCAGCUGUCCUGGACCAUGAGGUGGCCUUGAGGAAGAAGCCACAAGCUAGGAGGGAGGAGCAGAAAGAUAGGGACCUGAGCCCCUGAUGACACCACAGAGCCGCCAUACUUGUCCUGCAUGGCCAACGUGUAGAUCUGGACACGAGAGAGAUAAGCUUCUGUCUUGUGCAAGCUACCACCCCCACCGAAGUCCCAUGUGAAUAUCCAGUACCCCAAGGACACUUGCAAUGUCACACUGGCCUCACGCUUUCACUUUCUGAUGAACGUGGCCUUGACACAUCUCCAACUGACACCUGUUGAAACAAAUGUACCUUUCCAUCCUACAGGACGUCCACAUAUAACAAAAGACAUGAUUACACCGUAGGCUUUUCCUGCCUUGUGGAAACUCCCAGACUCCCUCUCAAGGUGAUUUGGGAUGCUUCACUUAGUUGUGAAAGACAAGGGCCUGCCUCUCAGAUCCGAGGCCAGCGCAGAGCCAAGAAUAAGGAGGCAAAAGAGGU